GUUUCAGCAAAUAGGAAGCUCUAGAAAUCUCAGCAGGCUUCUCCCUGUGGGCCUCCCAGCCCACUCUGAGGGCAAAGGAGAAUCAAAGAGGCUGCUUUAGGGCCCAGCGUCUGGGGCUUUUGCAGGGCAGAGGGCAGAAUCUCUUUUCCCAGCAACCCCCUCCCCCCACGACAGCUGGGAGCAACCCUCACCUCUGCUUCAAUCUGUACUCUUCCAGGCUGGCUGCCUGUACUCUGCCUGCCAACGUGGGGCUGUGGGGGCAGCAUCCCUCACAAGUCUGCAGAUGUGGACCUGGGCUUUUGUGAAAACCAACACCCAGUUCCUGCCAUAUCCCCAGGCUCUUUCCACAGGAGAGAAGUGGCAGGAAGGAACGCAGCCCUGACACUCAAAGGAACUCGGGGCAUCCUGCCUGUUCGUGUCCACACGUAGGGUUGGGCUCCUGACCACUUCUCCAACUGUGGAAAAGAAAUGAGCUUGAUAAGGGGAGUCAGAGGUACAGCCCUCCUUCCUCCAAGGGCUGAAAAAGCAGCCCUUAUUGACUGGCUUCUAUCACUCAUCUCAUUAAAGCCUUGUGAAAGCACCUUUGGCUCCACCCUCCACUUCUGAGCACUCUUUUGAAGGGAUUAGCACUCCCAGACUCUGGACUCGGGGGCUUGGAAAAGCUCUAUAGGUUUGAGAUUUACUGUGGCUCCAGGGAGCUGAGAGAUAGGCCAGCCUGAGUCAGGGCCGGAAGAAUGUUCUUCUAUUGUUCUGUCUGGGGGACAGGCACUCUGGCAGUCAUAGUAUCUUUCACUCUAUUCGCUUUCACUGCACUGGCUCUGGUUUGCGAGGUGUCCCCAGCAGCCUCCUGCAUGGUGCCCAUCACUCACUCCACACUGUCCUCCCUGUAAUCUGUCUUCUGUGCCAGCCAUCCUUGAAGUGACCUUCCUUUUUUUGUUGUUGUUUGAGACAGAGUCUCACUCUGUUGCCUAGGCUGGAGUGCAGUGGCCUAAUCUUGGCUCACUGCAACAUCUGCCUCCUGGGUUCAAGCAAUUCUCCUGCCUCAGCCUCCCGAGAAGCUGGGAUUACAGGUGAUCGCCACCACGCCUGGCUAAUUUUUGUAUCUUUAGUAGUGACGGGCUUUUGCCAUGUUGGCCAGGCUGGUCUCAAACUCCUGACCUCAAGUGAUCUGCCUGCCUCGGCCUCCCAAAGUGCUGGAAUUACAGGCGUGAGCCACCACUCCCAGCCUGAAGUGGCCCUUCUAAGCCUCUGAUCUUAUCAUCAUUGAGUGCUUUUCAUCAUCAUGCUGGGUCCCUGCCGUAAAACCUCCCAGUGCCUUCUGGUCUUAGUUUGGGUUCUUCCACAAAGCAGACCCACAGGUAGGGAUUUGGGUACAGUCAAGAGGCUGCAUACCAUGCUAGUUAAACACAUGAAUUUGGACUCAGAUGUUCUGAGUUCAAAUCCUGACUGUAUGACUUGGAACCACGCUUUCCAUAUCUGUAGAGUGUGAACAACCAGCAUAUCUACCUUACAGGGUUACGGUAAGAAUGAAG
rnacentral:lncRNA from 10 species